AGGAUGAACGCUAGCGGCAGGCCUAACACAUGCAAGUCGAGGGGUAACGAUGUCUUCGGACAGUCGACGACCGGCGCACGGGUGAUUAACGCGUAUACAACCUACCUUUAACAGGAGGAUAGCCCCGAGAAAUCGGGAUUAAUACUCCAUAACAUCGUUUUACCGCAUGGUAUUUCGAUUAAAACUCACUCCGGCGGUUAAAGAUGGGCAUGCGUGACAUUAGUUUGUUGGUGAGGUAACAGCUCACCAAGACUACGAUGUCUAUGGGGUCUGAGAGGAUGAUCCCACACACUGGUACUGAGACACGGACCAGACUCCUACGGGAGGCAGCAGUGAGGAAUAUUGGUCAAUGGACGCAAGUCUGAACCAGCCAUGCCGCGUGCAGGAUGACGGCCCUAUGGGUUGUAAACUGCUUUUAUUAAGGAAUAAAAUCCUUCUACGUGUAGAGGGUUGACUGUACUGUACGAAUAAGCAUCGGCUAACUCCGUGCCAGCAGCCGCGGUAAUACGGAGGAUGCAAGCGUUAUCCGGAUUCAUUGGGUUUAAAGGGUGCGUAGGCGGGGUAAUAAGUCAGUGGUGAAAUUCCUCAGUUUAACUGAGGAACUGCCAUUGAUACUGUUAGUCUUGAGUAUAGUUGAGGUGGGCGGAAUGUGUCAUGUAGCGGUGAAAUGCAUAGAUAUGACACAGAACACCGAUUGCGUAGGCAGCUCACUAAACUAUCACUGACGCUGAGGCACGAAAGCGUGGGUAGCGAACAGGAUUAGAUACCCUGGUAGUCCACGCCGUAAACGAUGAUUACUCGUUGUGUGCGAUAUAUUGUACGCGACUGAGCGAAAGCAUUAAGUAAUCCACCUGGGGAGUACGAUCGCAAGAUUGAAACUCAAAGGAAUUGACGGGGGCCCGCACAAGCGGAGGAACAUGUGGUUUAAUUCGAUGAUACGCGAGGAACCUUACCUGGGCUUAAAUGUAGUCUGAUUUUUCUCGAAAGAGAUUUUCCCUUCGGGGCAGAUUACAAGGUGCUGCAUGGCUGUCGUCAGCUCGUGCCGUGAGGUGUCGGGUUAAGUCCCAUAACGAGCGCAACCCCUAUCACUAGUUGCCAGCGAGUAAUGUCGGGGACUCUAGUGAGACUGCCGGUGUAAACCGUGAGGAAGGUGGGGAUGACGUCAAAUCAGCACGGCCCUUAUGUCCAGGGCUACACACGUGUUACAAUGGUCGAUACAAAGGGCAGCUACCUGGUGACAGGAUGCUAAUCCCAAAAGUCGAUCUCAGUUCGGAUCGAAGUCUGCAAUUCGACUUCGUGAAGUUGGAUUCGCUAGUAAUCGUAUAUCAGCAACGAUACGGUGAAUACGUUCCCGGGCCUUGUACCACCGCCCGUUCAGGCGAUUCUGCGCCGCAAUAUUCGCAGACAAUCCGGGAAGGGAAAUAUUUUUUUUUUUUU
rnacentral:rRNA from 1 species